ACCAGAAACACAAGCAGAGACUUGCAUUGCUGCUGCUCCAUGCCUCAGCAUGGAAGCACAGUGGUAUCUCCUCUCCUGACAGCGGUUCAAUCAUAGAGCAGGGGCUGCUGCAGGUAGAUGAGAUCGUUGUGCGACUGACUCAUUCCUGGAUCCUUCUGAUGGUGGCGUCGACGGAAAAAGAGCUUUGCGCUCUUUCUCAAGAUCCCACCUGCGAAAGCAAAGAGCAGAGGCAAAGGCGCUUUAGACAAACCAGACUGCUUUCUUCUAGCCUGCAGCUUCAGCUAUGACUGCAUCACUACUGAAGAAAGCCUUCGCCUCAGCACUUCGAGCUUAAGCACCACUCUCAUAACUAAUUAAACUAUGUUAGAAAGCUAAGAGUGGUGAAUUCAGAGCCACAGUGUUGAUGAUCUGUAACUGAGAGGAUGCAAGGGUACGAGCCCCGUGCUGGAAUGAAGGGAUUUUGGAUACUGGCAAAGGACUGAGCACUCAGCAUCUGUGAAGAUACUCUAGCGCAUUUUGUCUUGCUGCGACCAAGACAUGGGCCACGAUGGGAUUGAUGCAGGAGUCAGCUGAAAGCAACUGGAACGCACAGACCUGAAUCUUGUCUGCUCUCCCAUCACCCUCUGAUUGAUCAUUCUGGCAAAGCAGCACCACUUCAAGCUGUUGUCAACAGCAUAAAAGAAACAGUGUUUUGCCCCUGAUACUGACAGUUGUUAAUAUGCAGGGGCUGGGGAGGUUGCUGAGGCACUGCUGCUGUGCAGCUUUUGUUUUAGCCCUCAGCUGCUCUGCCCAGCAGCAUUGGCAGCUGCAGCUGAAUCUGUGCCAGCAGGAGGAGCAGGACAAAGGAGCUUAUCUCUAAACAGCUAUUUUGUCCUAUCCAUUCACUGAUUUUCCAUCCUAAGGAACAGAACUAAACCAAGAAUGCUUAAAACUUGUGCUGGUGGUCUAGGACAACUUGUUGCAGCUGGAAAAAAAAAAAAAAAAAAUGCAGGCUGAGAACAGCACAGCCUCAUCAGUGGCUGCAGCCGCCAAGGUGAAAGCUCCUUGUGUUUUCAGAGGUACUGAGAUUGCUAGUAGCUGGAAGCUUGUAUCAUCCACUGCUACCCACUGGUCUCCAGCCAGCUGGGUGCGUGCUGCCUGACAGUGGCUCCAGCUCUGUGGAGGCACCUCUGUAAGAAGGCAGGCUACAGAGCAAAUCACAAACUCAGCGAUGCUUGUGCUGUUUACAUGCUUACUUCUUGAGUUCAACGUGAUCCAUGUGCCAAACUCAGCUCCCAACACCAGGAAAUAAGCAGAGAGCACCUCAAGAAUGCUGUACAGACUAGCUGGUCUUCACAGGCUCCUGAGGGCCAGCUCAGGCUGUUCUAACUGGCUGGUUGAGCUAGGGUCACUUCCGAAUCUUUUUUUUUAUUGAAGGACGAUUUCCUUCCACAUCUACAAGGACGUGAAUAGAGACUGCUUCUUUCCAUUCCUUCCUAACUCCAAAACAGUUUUUAAUCGAGGUGUCUGUGAAGUACUCGUAGCUUUAGGAGUUCAGCUAGAAAGGAAAUCUAUAUAACUGUAAGCAGCAGUUUUUAAAAUAAGUAUUCUGUGUAUGCAUAUCCAGUUAUGAGGUCACACAUGGGUUUGCAUGAGCAGAUGUUCAACAGGAAUGGGCAUGAUGGAGAGAGAGCAGGAGCACACAGCACCCCUCCAAGCCUUCCUUGAAGCCUGUUCUGCAUGACCCACUUAGACAGCACAUCCACCAGUGGAAUGAUUUGUCUGGGCAGACAAAGCUGCUAAGGCAUCUGAGCACAGGAAGGCAGUUUGCAGGAGGAAAGAAAUGGAUGGGGGAAGAAAACAGGUGCCAAACUACAUUUUGCUCCGAUUUUUACAAUGAGCGCAUCAUUGUAAAGCUACGCUUUCUUUAAAAGAUAAGACAAAAGCAACUUACUGUGUAGGUAAUUAAUUCUGGCUGGCACAGUGGUCCUCUUAAGUUUAUGAAAGGGAACGGGUAAGAAACAGGAAGUCAGAAAAGUGAAGAACAAAAGGUAUUCAAGAGUAGAAAUCAUAGUGAAAGACAAUGCUAACUUCAAGACAUUCAUACCAUUCAGGAAGGUUUUUAAAGCAGAAAAGUGUUUGCUUUUUCUUGUUGUUGUUGUUUUUGUUGCUGUUCUUGUUUUUGAAAGG